rnacentral:rRNA from 1 species
UACGAAGGGGGCUAGCGUUGCUCGGAAUCACUGGGCGUAAAGGGUGCGUAGGCGGGUCUUUAAGUCAGAGGUGAAAUCCUGGGGCUCAACUCCAGAACUGCCUUUGAUACUGAAAGUCUUGAGUAUGGGAGAGGUGAGUGGAACUGCGAGUGUAGAGGUGAAAUUCGUAGAUAUUCGCAAGAACACCAGUGGCGAAGGCGGCUCACUGGCCCAUAACUGACGCUGAGGCACGAAAGCGUGGGGAGCAAACAGG